UACGAAGGGGGCUAGCGUUGUUCGGAAUUACUGGGCGUAAAGCGCGCGCAGGCGGUCUUCCAAGUCAGUGGUGAAAGCCCGGAGCUCAACUCCGGAACUGCCAUUGAAACUGUUGGACUUGAGUACGAGAGAGGUGAGUGGAAUUCCCAGUGUAGAGGUGAAAUUCGUAGAUAUUGGGAAGAACACCGGUGGCGAAGGCGGCUCACUGGCUCGUAACUGACGCUCAGGCGCGGCAGCGUGGGGAUCAAACAGG
rnacentral:rRNA from 1 species